rnacentral:lncRNA from 1 species
UACAAAAGGAAACAUAUACAACCGAAUAUUGCGAGGUAGAAAGCAAUAAGACGGGAACUAUAGUCGGAAUUUGCUUUGGUAUACUUAGUGCAGGUCUUGCUGUUUAUGCAACUUACCUUACUGUAUUGUAUAAAAGAAGAUCUAGCAAGAAAGGAAAACAGACGACAGAAGAUCUGAAUACACAAGUGACUUACAUUAACGAAGCAAAAGAAGGUACAGUCAGACACAUUAAUGACUCAAGUGGAAACAAAGACGACUCUGCUAGGUUGAUACAGAACUAACGCAAUAUUCAAAGGAUGACAAGUCAACAUAUGAUGUUAUUCAAAUGAAUUAGUAGCCAAGUAUUAUGUAAAAUCAGUGAUUAUGUUAGCCUUUAACAAUAUGUUUCAUCAUAUCUUUCUACAUUUAUAGCUGAUACUUAAAUGAAUUGUGGUUAAAGGGAGCGGCGGUCUAGUGGAUAAGGUGUCGGCCGCUCAAUCCAGGGGUCGUGGGUUUGAGCCCCACUGAGGUCACGACCAUGAUUUUUCAUAUGACACCAGUACUGGUUUUCCGGGAAGCGGACUCGAGAGUGGUUCAAAUACAUGUAAGCUUGAAGCUUUCUUCACAAUCGAGCUAAAACAAAUUAGUAUAAACUGAGGUUAAACUAGGAUUGUUUUCCAGGCUUCAUCUAGUGGUGUAUUUAAAUAAACACCAUUUAAGAAUUGUUAAUUUGAUAAACUUGUAGUUUGGCUGUUUUAGAAGUGUGUGAGGAAAUACAUGAAAUUGUUGAAGCAUCACCAGUGAAAUUGAAACUACUCUUUCAGUACUCAACAUAAUCUAUAGUAUCCAUUAUUUAUAUGAGAAUAUAUUGCCGUCUUGUUAAUAUUAGGCCAUGGAUAAUAACUUUAAACUUGUGUUCAUAACAACUUAGCAAAGGUACAAAUCAGAAAAGGUUAUAUUGGUAUAUUUUGCUUACUUCGAUGUGCUUUAAAUACACAAAAAGGAGUUAAACUAAUCAAAAUUCAACUAUCAAGUGACAUUCACGUUUUUCGAUUUUUCUCUCUACCGUUGUCUACAUAUACUAAUGUAAUUUCUACGUUUGAAAUAUAAUGAAGGAUAAUUAUACUAUUAAGGUGGUAGGUUACCUUGUCACCAGGUUAAAUUCAGAUUAGUUGAACCGCAGCAAUUGUUUGUAUUUCGUGUAAUUUAAUGUUUUAACUGCUACAAUCUCAAGUUCGUUCAUCUAUGUCCCGCCAAGUACAUUUUUUAUCCAGGUUUGAAGUAUAUGACCCUCCAGAUGUAUUUGUAUUGAAAGAAGAAGGAAAAUACGGAUAUUUUUUAACACUUUUCAGUGUAUUUUGGUUUCACUGUUAUCCGUAA